rnacentral:ncRNA from 1 species
UACCUGAUUGAUUCUGUCAGCGCGAUAUGCUCAAGUAAAAGAUUAAGCCAUGCAUGCUUUGAUUCAUAAAUGAAAUUGCGUACGGCUCAUUAGAGCAGAUAUCACCUUUCUCGGAAUCCUGAAAAGGAUAACUGCGGAAAUUCUGGAGCUAAUACAUGCGACUAUACUCCAACGCAAGGCGGGGUGCAAUUAUUAGAACAGACCAAACGUUUUCGGACGUUGUUUGUUGACUCUGAAUACCGUCGUUUACUGUCAGUUUCGACUGACUCUAUCCGAGAAGGGUGUCUGCCCUUUCAACUAGAUGGUAAUCUAUUGGACUACCAUGGUUGUUACGGGUAACGGAGAAUUAGGGUUCGACUCCGGAGAGGGAGCCUUAGAAACGGCUACCACGUCCAAGGAAGGCAGCAGGCGCGAAACUUAUCCACUGUUGAGUAUGAGAUAGUGACUAAAAAUAUAAAGACUCAUCCUUUUGGAUGAGUUAUUUCAAUGAGUUGAAUAUAAAUUAUUCUUCGAGUAGCAAGGAGAGGGCAAGUCUGGUGCCAGCAGCCGCGGUAAUUCCAGCUCUCCUAGUGUAUCUCGUUAUUGCUGCGGUUAAAAAGCUCGUAGUUGGAUCUAGGUUACGUGCCGCAGUUCGCAAUUUGCGUAACUGUGGUCGUGACUUCUAAUUUGCUGGUUGAGGUUGGGUUCCGCCCUUUCAACUGCCAGCAGGUUUACCUUGAAUAAAUC